AGUGAACGCUGGCGGUAGACCUAACACAUGCAAGUCGAACGGCAGCACAGUAUGCGCUUGCUAUUACGGGUGGCGAGUGGCGGGCGGGUGAGGAAUACAGCGGAAUCUACUUUUUCGUGGGGGAUAACGUAGGGAAACUUACGCUAAUACCUCAAACGACCUACGGGUGAAAGCAGGGGAUAUUCGGACCUUGCGCGAUUGAAUGAGCCGGUGUCGGAUUAGUUAGUUGGCGGGGUAAAGGCCCACCCAAGCGAACAUUCGUAGCUGGUCUGAGAGGGUGGAUCACCCACAUUGGAAUGAAACCACGGUCCAGACCCCUACGGGAGGCACAAGUGGGGAUUAUUGGACAAGGGGGGCAAGCCGGACCCAGACAGCCCGCGUGGGGGAAGAAGGCCUUCGGGUUUUAAAGCCCUUUUGUUGGGAAAGAAAAUCAGCAGGUUAAUACCCCGCUGUUCUGACGGUACCCAAAGAAAAAGCAACGGCUAACUUCGUG
rnacentral:rRNA from 1 species